rnacentral:lncRNA from 1 species
GGGGGGGUCGGGGGGUGGGUUGCUUAGCAACCCUUCCCUCCAGGUAACCCUUCUCUUGCUUGCCCUUGAUAUCCCCCAAGGAUGGAGAGGGACGGGGGGGCCCCGGUGAUGCCACGCGCGAGCGAGCGCGGCGCGAGGAGGGGGGGUUUGGAGACCCGCUGCAGCCCCCGGCCCCAAAUCGGGCUGUGUGGGGUGUGUAUGGGGUGGGAGGGGAUGACGGGGAGAGCUGCGGGUCCUGCAUCCUGCCCCUGCCUCCAUGUCAUGGUCCCUGUAUGCCACUGGGUGCCUGUCACCGGAUUGUCCCCACGCGGGGUGGCACGGGGCGUUGCGGCAGGUCCUGGGCUGGUUCUGGGGCAGGAGGGCUCUGGGCAAGGCUUUCCUUUAGCCAUGCCGCCACCACCCACCCCAUAACCAGCUGCCAGGGUGAGGGACGUGCCCCAGGUGUCCCCGUGUCCUACUGCAUUGAUGUCCACCAGAUGUGGGCCACCGAAAGUCCUCCUGGUCCGACCCAGGCUCUGCAAAACCAGUUCCACUUGUGGUGGCACCAAGUCCCUUGGAGCUAGGAUUCACCUCCUGGCAUCACUGGAGACCUGAGGGCUCAGACCCCAGGUCCGAGGCUGCUCGGCUCCGAGUCUCCGUGGCGCUCCUCACCCUUUGACGAAUCCUGGCAUUUGCGAAGUUAUUAUACCUCAUUAUGGAUUGGAUUUUAAUCUACUGUAAAUAGUCCUACCAUUAUAGUGUCAUAAGAAGCAAUUAGCCCCCCUGCUUGCUUCUAUGCAUGAGGGGAAAGCUUUAAUAUCACGGAACUGCGAGGGCUUGAUGGGGCUGAAGCCUACGUUCAUGCAGGCGGAGGCUUGGCUCCGUGGUGUUAACCUGCUCCGUGCCUGCCCAGAGAUGUCCCCUCCGUGCCCUCAGGUGUCCGACGGGAACAUCUCCGGAGCUCCUGGGUUGAUUUCCACCCGGGACCUGUCCCCUCCUCGGGUGCGCCUAGCAGCACAGAUGGAGGUCUCCUUUCAGCGGGCGAACACAGUUUGGGCAGGUGAUAAAUUGUGGUUUCCUCACCUUGCCCCUAGCCCAGUCCCAAAGGGGAUUAUCGUCUGCAGGGCUGAGAGGCGUCCGGAGUCCAGUCCCUGCCUUGCCUCGCCUCAGGGUGAUUAUUUCCAGUCUCGGCGAAACUCUUCUCCUUCGUGGUGUGGGAGAAAUUCAUUAUCUGGAGCUGGCGUGCUCGCAGGGUUAGAAAUGAGCCCUACCUGUUUGGUGUCCGUGUCACCUGGAGCUGGAGGGAGCCUGGGUGCUGGGAUGUCAUGGCCGUCCCCACUGGGUGACGGAGCCCAGCCGAAGCUGGCACUGCAGCGUGGUCUCCCCUUGUGCUGGAGGACCUGGAGGAGAGGGGAGGGAGAUGCUGACGGGCUCCUUGCCCAGGGACAAAAAUCUUCCAGGCUUCCCCGUCCUGGGGUGGAAGCGGAGUGUGAUCCCUGCCCUUGCUGUGGAAGGAGAAGAUCUGCCCCAAGGUGCCAUCCCUCCCUCCAUCCCAGCAUUCAUUUUUUGUCCACGACUCCAACAGCCCAGCUCUUCAUCAUCCUUCCGCUCCAUCACCGAGCCCUUGUUUGUCUGCCCGCUCCUCUCUGA